rnacentral:tRNA from 21 species
UGCGCCAUCGCCAAGCGGUAAGGCAGGGGACUUUGACUCCCCCAUCGUAGGUUCGACUCCUGCUGGCGCAACCA